CGGGCAGAACUUUUUCCUGCCCCGAAUACAUUAGCAUGGGAUAAUGGAAUAGGACCCUGACCUCCUAUUUUCAGUUGGUUUUGUUUUUACAGCGAGGUUCAUCAGGGUAAUGAUUAAUAGGGAUAGUUGGGGGCAUUAAUAUUUAAUUGUCAGAGGUGAAAUUCUUGGAUUUAUGAAAGAUUAACUUCUGCGAAAGCGUUUGCCAAGGAUGUUUUCAUUAAUCAAGAACGAAAGUUAGGGGAUCGAAGACGAUCAGAUACCGUCGUAGUCUUAACCAUAAACGAUGCCGACCAGCGAUUAGGAGACGUUGAAUACAAAACACCGCCGUUAAUCCUUUUCAACGGGGGUUAACGGUUGGUGAAUGACUCCCCUAGCAGCUUGUGAGAA
rnacentral:rRNA from 1 species